CUCCCCUGCUAGGUGUGCGGCGCUGGAGCCGAUCGCCUCAAAGUGACCGUUGGAGACAGGACCGUUAGGCCGUUUAAACUUCCCGCCCUUGCGUCUGGCCGCCACCGCCUGGUCUCAGCGGCUCGCAGGGGGCUGGCGGGUCCUGGCUGCUCACCCUGGCGGCCCCUCGAUUCCAGGACUUCCCCACAUACGCUGCAGUUCUCCCCGCUGCUGCAGGACGUGUCUGCGCCGGAGCUGAUCGCCUCAGAGCGUCGAUGUUCUUCGCCGCACUGUCUUGGUGAGCAUUUGCCUGCAUUCCCAAGGAGGCUAAUCCAUCCUAGAUACAGUACGUGUAACUUCCGGGAAGUCUAAAGUGCUUCAACGAUAAGGAACGUGGUGGACCCAGAAUCACCUGAUAAAUACAAAAAAGUGCAUCUCUUAUUUGUCAUUCUGAGGCAGAAUGUCACUGACCAGAAGACUCAAACAUACAUGAGUAAUUUCAAAUUACAGGAGCAGCAUGAAUACUCCAAAAUCAUCUGAAGCUGAGAUGCUGAGACUUUACAUUCCUGAGGAAGAGAACUGCUCAGUAAAUACUCCUACACUGCCUGCAAGACUCAAAAAUCAAGAUAACUGGGUUUUCUCUUCUGCAAAAUGGAAGUGAAAAGGAAGCCUCUGUUCAGAAAGUGCCCAUGAAUACUCAAGGCAAGCUGUAGCACUGUCUGUUCAGUCCAGGUCACACUAAAUCCUGACGUGAGAAAAGCACUGUAACAGAAGUGUUGCAAUUUUUGGUCCCCCCCCCUUCACUAACUCUGAUGGCUCCUCAGCAAAAAUUCCUAG
ensembl:lncRNA